rnacentral:lncRNA from 1 species
UCCCUGAUGGAAUCCCUGAAUCUCAAAGAAAUCUGCCGGGACCUGCUGAGCAAACUGAAUAAAAUUAAUGAGGGAGAUACUCAAGACUUGGACAGAGCAUUGAAUAAGGUAUUCCCUGUCUGCCUGAAGUGCCAUCGGUGCCUCACUAGCAGCUGUCCACACCACAGCAAGACUGCAGCAACCCAUGCUGUGUCCAUGCUGACCAUCUUCAUCCACUCCCUGAACAUCCUGCUGCUUGUGGAGGAGAUCAAACUGAAGGUGGAGCUAGGCUUUGAACUGUCUGUCUUUGGGAAGGUGGUACACAAAUGGAAGAAAACUCUGGAGCUACCUGACCCUGCUGGAAAUGAAGAAUGCUUUGAGGAACGCUGUGAGGUAUGCGGUGAGCCUCUCCCAAGGGGCACACAAGAGGGAUUGAGCCUACCGAAUGGACAUUUGAAGAGACCAAGAAGGAAGGAGCAGUGUGGGACACGCUUCACAGUCGCCAGACCUGUGACUGCGCAUGGAGUAGGACAGGGGAAGUCUCUCCACACCCCAGAUCCCAUGUGGCCUCUGCCCGCAUGGACACAGCCACCUGUCCCAAAUGCGCUUGAUCAGCUUCAGAGAGCUGGGAUGGAGCCACUGCCAGGCUGGGGGUGUCAGACCCAUCUGCCCACUGAGGCAGGGAGCGGCACCCUCGGGGGAGCUCAGCACCCUGCUGCAGCAGUAGGAAGGGGAGCAAGAGCUGGGGCUGCAUUGCGGGAGCCGUGGGAGAGCUCCCCAAAUGAUCCUUGAAGGGACACUGAAAAAUGGAGCACUAGGCUGUGCAAGGGGCCAGCCCUGCCCCUUCUGGGGCGCUGGCAGAGGCAGGGAAGCGUCCAGCAGCACAAGCCUCUUCCCAGGGCCACCAAGCCAGCAUGGGUGCUGGCUGGACACCCCUGGGGCUCACAGCCAGCUCAGACAGACAGGCUGGAGGAAAGGGCUGAGAGGAGCCUCAAGAAGUUCCUUAAGAAGCGCAGGGUCCUGCCCCUGGGGUGGAGCAAGCCCAGCACCGCCUCCUGCUGGGGGCAUCCGGCUGGAAGCAGCCUGGCACAGAAGGGCCUGGGGUCCUGGUGGGCACCGAGCUGAACAAGAGCCAGCAAAGGGCCCUCGCCACAAA